GUCAAGCUCCCGGCCGGGCUGACUCAAGCGGAGGCGCGCGGAACAGUCGCCGAGGCGAUUCCCGCCCAGGCUCCUGUAACCGCCAGGCAGCGGCCCCACCAUGUCCCAGCCCCGGACCCCAGAGCAGGCACUGGAUACGCCGGGGGACUGCCCCCCAGGCAGGAGAGACGAGGACGCUGGGGAGGGGAUCCAGUGCUCCCAACGCAUGCUCAGCUUCAGUGAUGCCCUGCUGUCCAUCAUCGCCACCGUCAUGAUCCUGCCUGUGACCCACACGGAGAUCUCCCCAGAACAGGUAACGGGGCAGGCUGUGCUCUGCGUGGUGUGGCCCUGAGAAGAUAUAGGGUACCCGAGGCCCGACCUGGCACAGGGGGCUGACCCUGCACGCCUCGAAGCUUCUGAGGCUUAGGAGGCAGAGGCGGGAGGCAGGGGCCUCCUUGGAAAGGGAGGGAGCCAACAAGUCCUGCUCAGCCUGUGCUCACCCCGGCGGAGGUCCUGGCCUCCUGGGAGGGUGGGAGACUGGGCUCCUAGGGCUCUGUUUCCGAGUUCAGUGGACAAAGGCAGCACCCUGGAAGUGAGCCAGAGGACAGGUUGGAAGAGGAAGGUUCCGGGCCUGCCCCAAGGACAGAAGUUUCCUCUGCGGGAGGGCAGCUGCCCCAGCAGGCAGGCCCCUUACGUAGCUGCUCUGAGUAAACGGGGCCAGCGCCCCGUCUCAGCAGGGACACUCCUACCCCGGCUGCUCCUGCAGGCCUGGAGCAGUUCGACAGAAGUGUACAGAGGCUUCUGGCAACACGGAUUGCCGUCUACCUGAUGACCUUUCUCAUCGUGACAGUGGCCUGGGCAGCACACACAAGGUUGUUCCAAGUUGUUGGGAAAACAGACGACACACUUGCCCUGCUCAACCUGGCCUGCAUGAUGACCAUCACCUUCCUGCCUUACACGUUUUCGUUAAUGGUGACCUUCCCUGAUGUGCCUCUGGGCAUCUUCUUGUUCUGUGUGUGUGUGAUCGCCAUCGGGGUCGUGCAGGCACUGAUUGUGGGGUACGCAUUCCACUUCCCGCACCUGCUGAGCCCGCAGAUCCGGCGCUCUGCCCACAGGGCUCUGUACCGACGACACGUCCUGGGCAUCGUCCUCCAAGGCCCAGCCCUGUGCUUUGCAGCGGCCAUCUUCGCUCUCUUCUUUGUCCCUUUGUCUUACCUGCUGAUGGUGACUGUCAUCCUCCUCCCCUAUGUCAGCAAGGUCACCGGCUGGUGCAGAGACAGGCUCCUGGGCCGCAGGGAGCCCUCGGCUCACCCAGUGGAAGUCUUCUCGUUUGACCUCCACGAGCCACUCAGCAAGGAGCGCGUGGAAGCCUUCAGCGACGGAGUCUACGCCAUCGUGGCCACGCUUCUCAUCCUGGACAUCUGCGAAGACAACGUCCCGGACCCCAAGGAUGUGAAGGAGAGGUUCGGCGGCAGCCUCGUGGCCGCCCUGAGUGCGACCGGGCCGCGCUUCCUGGCGUACUUCGGCUCCUUCGCCACGGUGGGACUGCUGUGGUUCGCCCACCACUCACUCUUCCUGCAUGUGCGCAAGGCCACGCGGGCCAUGGGGCUGCUGAACACGCUCUCGCUGGCCUUCGUGGGUGGCCUCCCACUAGCCUACCAGCAGACCUCGGCCUUCGCCCGGCAGCCCCGCGAUGAGCUGGAGCGCGUGCGUGUCAGCUGCACCAUCAUCUUCCUGGCCAGCAUCUUCCAGCUGGCCAUGUGGACCACGGCGCUGCUGCACCAGGCGGAGACGCUGCAGCCCUCGGUGUGGUUUGGCGGCCGGGAGCACGUGCUCAUGUUCGCCAAGCUGGCGCUGUACCCCUGUGCCAGCCUACUGGCCUUCGCCUCCACCUGCCUGCUGAGCAGGUUCAGUGUGGGCAUCUUCCACCUCAUGCAGAUCGCCGUGCCCUGCGCCUUCCUGUUGCUGCGCCUGCUCGUGGGCCUGGCCCUGGCCACCCUGCGGGUUCUGCGGGGCCUCGCCCGGCCCGAACACCCCCCGCCAGCCCCCACGGGCCAGGACGACCCACAGUCCCAGCUCCCCCCUGCCCCCUGCUAGCAGCCACAGAGCCCACUUCCAGCCGUCCUCACCAGAGAUGGACCAGGGAGGACAGGAUGCUGGGCAGGGGAAGCCAAGUCACGGGCAGGCCGCAGUGGUUCUUGCGUGGCCUGGUUUUAUUUUCAUUGUGAAAUAUCAUGCUCUUAUUUCAGUCCUCAAA
rnacentral:sRNA from 1 species